GAAACACGACGUGCCUGGAACCAAACCAAGUCGUGCCGCGCUAAAUCGUGCUGAUCAGAAUAAACCAAGGGGGGAGAGAAUCACUACUGUCUUCACCAGAGAAGGAGAAAAUGCCACCUUACCGUGUCACCUGGAUCCUUCGAACCUGAAGUCUCCAGCGUUUGACUGGAAGAAAGGCAGCCAGGAGGUAUUCAUGUACCAACAUGGCAUGCCUGAUUAUACAACCGGCAAGGUGGGACAAGACCCCAAGUUCGAGGGAAGGGUGAGGCUGGUCCCAGGGGGGCUGCAGGCUGGAAAGGCCUCAGUGAUCUUGUUUAAUGUGACCGAGGAGGACAUCGGAGUAUACAAGUGUAUCCUCCUGCCCCAGGAACGGACAAGUUGGAUCGAUCUGAAAAUGGUUGUGGAUCCUCAGUUGAUGCUGACUAUCGAAGAGGCUCCACUGUCUGCAGGCUGGGCCAGUCUAUCGUGUGUCUCUACAGGAGGUCACCCCCAGCCCAGGGGUCUGGAGUGGAUGAACCAGGAUGGAGCUGUGAAGAAUUCAACAAACUCAACACACGGUAGAGGCCACUACCCUCUGCAUCUGGACCUGAUUGUGAAAGAGCCAGGGAACUACACCUGUCUUGCCUUGCAGGGAGAUGUUAAACCUGCUAGCCGUGCAAUCCAAUUAUUUGGCAAUUGGCAGGCGUCGGCCGGCCAUUUUGUAUGCGGGAUCCUUGGUUUCAUUUUAUUUUUCGUUGGGGUUUCAAUCUUUUAAUCGGUUUCACAUACAAUUAUUUAAAACCUCAAUCCAG
ensembl:lncRNA